GACGUAGGGCGCGAGCGUUGUCCGGAUUUAUGGGGCGUAAAGAGCUCGUAGGCGGCUUGUCGCGUCGACUGUGAAAGCCCGGGGCUUAACUCCGGGUCUGCAUUCGAUACGGGCAGGCUAGAGUUCGGUAGAGGAGAUCGGAAUUCCUGGUGUAGCGGUGAAAUGCGCAGAUAUCAGGAGGAACACCGGUGGCGAAGGCGGAUCUCUGGGCCGAUACUGACGCUGAGGAGCGAAAGCGUGGGGAGCGAACAGG
rnacentral:rRNA from 1 species